AAGUCGUAACAAGGUUUCCGUAGGUGAACCUGCGGAAGGAUCAUUAAUGAUUUUUAAAGCGAGUCGAGCGUUAAGCGAGUCUUGCGAAAUAUUUAAAACCCCACUCUUUUUAACCUUAAAAAAUAAAUCAUGAUACAUGAAUUUAAAAAAAAAAGAUCACUUUCAACAACGGAUCUCUUGGCUCUC
rnacentral:misc_RNA from 1 species